rnacentral:lncRNA from 1 species
GAUAUCAGCACAUGGCACAGACGUGUCCUCCUAGCGCGUAGCUCUAGACUGUUUAGGUGAAGGCUUCAACCCGGUAAGGAGCCCGGCUGAAUGUAUCCACACUGUGGUUCAGCAGCCUUUUAGAUUAUACGGCAUUGUGGUUCAUGUUGGAAAUUACAGAUUUUAAAUGCCAUGUUCAUUAAGAAAUCCAGGGUAUUCCGAUUCUGGGGUUUUUCAUAUUGUAUUAUUAUUAUUCUUAGGAAUAGUUCAGUGUAACAAGAAGAAAACUUGACCUUUGCUCUGGUUAAACAGUAAAAGGCACUUGAAAACAAAAAGAUAAAUUAUUGAAUGAGUAGUAUUACCUACAAAUUCCAGAAUUUUCUGGGUUUUAGGACAUUGUGAAGCAUGACUGAUUAACAGAAUUUUAUACAACUGUACCAGUGAAAUUCCAAAUUGGAAUUGUUUUGUUACUCUGGUUGUUGUGCCAAAUUGUGGUACACUUAGAAAAUCCUACAGUCUUCGAUUUUUAGGGUGUUCUAUUUCAACGCCUUUUUGUUAGUAAUCAUUGCCAGUAGUGCCUUCAUCAGUUGAGGGAGGUGGCCCAGCGUAGUCUAUUCUCUAAAACAGACAGUAAAGAGCUAUUUGGAAAUGUUGAAGGCUGGUAUGGACCAGUUGGUGUGAAUAGGCACACACCUUUGAACCUAAAUCUGGGCAUCUUCAUUGAGGGAAAGAAAACAGCAAUUGUGCAAAAUUCUGUUAGUCAGUGAUUCUUUACUGUGCAGAUCCUUGCAAAUUCAGGGGCUGAAAAAAUGAAAGUGAAUAUAAACCUUGAGUGUGCUUUGGGAACCAAAUGGACUUUACGGGACAAGCUAAGCAAGUAUGUGAACAACACGCCACGUUUGUGAAGAGUGGGGUGGGUGGCAGGGGAGCUGGCACUGUCGGCCCCGUGCACUGGGGUGAGGGGUAGCCAUAGUAUUCUUUGCAAAUGUGAGAAGAGACAUUAUAUAUUCUCUUGCUUGGUGUAACUAAUCACUGUUAAUUUCAGGAAACAGAAGUCACUGAAGCUCCUUAGCAAACCAGAUCUUUGUCCUGUCCUGAUUUGCUAAGUGAGGUUGUGCAAAUGGUCAAAUUGGUACUCGAGGAGGAGGAAUGAGAAAAAGUGUCCUCUCUUCUCCAAAAUACAGGACAAAUUAUAAUAAUAUAAGUAGCAAGAAAGAAAGAAUUCUGUUUCCUGGAAUAAGCAUUUUUAUUCCUAGUUGUAGGGACCCCUGUUUUUACCUUCUCUUACAGUGUUGAUUCAUAAGAAAUAAUGUUACAUUUACAAAAACUUCAUCUGUAUGGGGUAUUUAUUUGCAAUGAUGUCUGAGUACUGUAUUUUUCUGUGCAUUACCUUAGUGUCAGAAUGUUGUCUUUAUUUUAAGAUCAUAUGCAUGUUCUCCUGCCAAGGAUCUUUUACACAGACCCAAACAAACAAAAAUGCCUUCAGAUUUUGAGAAAAUGAGGCACUACAUGGAAAAGGAAUAGGAAGGGGAAAUCAGUCACCAGCUGGGACACAGACAUAUGACACAAGUGUCUGUAAAGCCAGUGCAUAUAGGAACAGUGGGCCUGGGUAAGGGGUCAUUUUGGUAGGACC